rnacentral:lncRNA from 1 species
GUUUUCGGUGUUGUUUUUUCUUUCUCUCAAAAGAUGCUAGAUAGAUUUGCCAUGGGACAACUUAGAGAGAGUAUGAUGCAAGCACACUGAUGUCGUCUGAUACCUGUGAAGCCAGAUAUUUUCUCCCACAUCUCAUACUAGAGAUGAGCAGACAAAAGGUGAAAGAGAGAACAGCAGAGAGACCAUCCACAGAGGGAGAUGGGCAAUUGUGAGAAGAGGUCGAGAACAGAAUAGGAAAGAAGGAGCGG